rnacentral:lncRNA from 1 species
GGGGGCAAAUUUCCCUUGUCUCCACCCUCCUAUUUUCCAGUCUGGUUUUGUGUGUGAGAUGGAGAACAAGCUUCCUGUGAGCACGUGUCCACCUGCGUGUGCAUGUGUGAACGCACAUGUGAGGAAGGGUGUAUGUUCACCUGUGUGCGUGCACUUAUGGGCACCUAAGUGAGUGGUUGGGGAAGCAUUCAUGGGGAGCCUGCCUAGGUGCAGGAGGGGGAGGGCACUACGGAGCCCAAGGUCCCCCUCAUGCCCUGCUUUCGCUGCCGGGGCUGACUUCCCAGUGUCCAUCUGUGCAUCUCCGGACGCAGUGACCCUGUGAGGAGCAGGGAUGGCUCCGGUGCUGCCCUCAGCCAGUUCUCUGCAGGAAGAAAGAGAACAUUGUACAUGGCAACAGGAAGAUUAUACCAUGAUCACUUCUGAUGGACGCAGCUCUUUCCAACAUUGAGGUGAUUCAGGCCAGUUCCAAUGGUCUUGUGGUGGAGAGAGCCAUCUGCACUCAGAGAGAGGGAAGCGGGAGAGAAGAGGUGAUUAGACUGGAGGCCAGAGACAGCUAUUCAGAGCUCACCAUGAUCUGUGAAACCUGGACAGUCCGCCACUAGCACCAUGCCAGGCUCCCGGGAUCGCUUGGAAGAUCUCCUGGCAAGACGAGCCAGACACCGAAGGCCUUAGGCUUUCAGACUGCCACAGACAGCUGGACUCUGAGCGCUGCCCUCACCACUUUAAUGUCACCUGGAUGCUCGCCUUUAAGAACUCGCACAAGAGAAGCACUCAUUGAAGGUCAGAAGUAGUGAUACGAGGACGUCCUCAAGGUCUCUCUGAAGAGCUGUGGACUCCCGUGGGAGCGUGGGCACAGGACCCCCAGCUGGAGGGUGCCUCCAGCGGAGAAGGCGCCCAUGCUCUCCAAGCAAAGCAGGGUUGCAGUAACUCAGGGCAAGUUCAGAGAGUUGCCCUGAAUGCUCACACGAACUGUCUGUGCCUGACCUGGGGGAGGCAUUCUGAGCUCAGAGGACACACUAUCCCUGGCCCUAGCAUAGUGACAACAUUUUGGGUCCUCUUCAAGGACAAAGGACAACAACAAACCAACUGUGAGGGUCAGAAGAGAGCGAUAGAGUGCUUGGAAAACUUAGUGAGUUACAAACGGGGCCUAUUAUUGCUUCCUUGUGUUCCUUGUUUUAAAACUCCCUUUUAUGGUUCUCUAUAUCCUUCUCAAUUACACUGAAUUCUCUUUAUUCUAACCCGGAAGUAACAUCAGGACCUGGACCAG